GCUUCUUCUUUUUCUUUUUUUUCUUCUUCUUCUAUUUCUUCUAU
rnacentral:ribozyme from 12 species